AUACCCGAAUGGGGAAACCCAGUGUGAUUCGUCACACUAUCAUUAACUGAAUCCAUAGGUUAAUGAGGCGAACCGGGGGAACUGAAACAUCUAAGUACCCCGAGGAAAAGAAAUCAACCGAGAUUCCCCCAGUAGCGGCGAGCGAACGGGGAGGAGCCCAGAGCCUGAAUCAGCAUGUGUGUUAGUGGAAGCGUCUGGAAAGGCGCGCGAUACAGGGUGACAGCCCCGUACACAAAAGCGCAUGUGCUGUGAGCUCGAUGAGUAGGGCGGGACACGUGGUAUCCUGUCUGAAUAUGGGGGGACCAUCCUCCAAGGCUAAAUACUCCUGACUGACCGAUAGUGAACCAGUACCGUGAGGGAAAGGCGAAAAGAACCCCGGCGAGGGGAGUGAAAAAGAACCUGAAACCGUGUACGUACAAGCAGUGGGAGCACAGGUUUACCUGUGUGACUGCGUACCUUUUGUAUAAUGGGUCAGCGACUUAUAUUCUGUAGCAAGGUUAACCGAAUAGGGGAGCCGGAGGGAAACCGAGUCUUAAUUGGGCGUUAAGUUGCAGGGUAUAGACCCGAAACCCGGUGAUCUAGCCAUGGGCAGGUUGAAGGUUGGGUAACACUAACUGGAGGACCGAACCGACUAAUGUUGAAAAAUUAGCGGAUGACCUGUGGCUGGGGGUGAAAGGCCAAUCAAACCGGGAGAUAGCUGGUUCUCCCCGAAAGCUAUUUAGGUAGCGCCUCGUGAAUUCAUCUCCGGGGGUAGAGCACUGUUUCGGCUAGGGGGCCAUCCCGGCUUACCAACCCGAUGCAAACUGCGAAUACCGGAGAAUGUUAUCACGGGAGACACACGGCGGGUGCUAACGUCCGUCGUGAAGAGGGAAACAACCCAGACCGCCAGCUAAGGUCCCAAAGUCAUGGUUAAGUGGGAAACGAUGUGGGAAGGCCCAGACAGCCAGGAUGUUGGCUUAGAAGCAGCCAUCAUUUAAAGAAAGCGUAAUAGCUCACUGGUCGAGUCGGCCUGCGCGGAAGAUGUAACGGGGCUAAACCAUGCACCGAAGCUGCGGCAGCGACACUGUGUGUUGUUGGGUAGGGGAGCGUUCUGUAAGCCUGCGAAGGUGGCCUGUGAGGGUUGCUGGAGGUAUCAGAAGUGCGAAUGCUGACAUAAGUAACGAUAAAGCGGGUGAAAAGCCCGCUCGCCGGAAGACCAAGGGUUCCUGUCCAACGUUAAUCGGGGCAGGGUGAGUCGACCCCUAAGGCGAGGCCGAAAGGCGUAGUCGAUGGGAAACGGGUUAAUAUUCCCGUACUUGGUGUUACUGCGAAGGGGGGACGGAGAAGGCUAUGUUGGCCGGGCGACGGUUGUCCCGGUUUAAGCGUGUAGGUGUGUGUUCCAGGUAAAUCCGGUUCACUUUAACACUGAGGCGUGACGACGAGGCACUACGGUGCUGAAGCAACAAAUGCCCUGCUUCCAGGAAAAGCCUCUAAGCAUCAGGUAACAUCAAAUCGUACCCCAAACCGACACAGGUGGUCAGGUAGAGAAUACCAAGGCGCUUGAGAGAACUCGGGUGAAGGAACUAGGCAAAAUGGUGCCGUAACUUCGGGAGAAGGCACGCUGACACGUAGGUGAAGUGAUUUACUCAUGGAGCUGAAGUCAGUCGAAGAUACCAGCUGGCUGCAACUGUUUAUUAAAAACACAGCACUGUGCAAACACGAAAGUGGACGUAUACGGUGUGACGCCUGCCCGGUGCCGGAAGGUUAAUUGAUGGGGUCAGCGCAAGCGAAGCUCCUGAUCGAAGCCCCGGUAAACGGCGGCCGUAACUAUAACGGUCCUAAGGUAGCGAAAUUCCUUGUCGGGUAAGUUCCGACCUGCACGAAUGGCGUAAUGAUGGCCAGGCUGUCUCCACCCGAGACUCAGUGAAAUUGAACUCGCUGUGAAGAUGCAGUGUACCCGCGGCAAGACGGAAAGACCCCGUGAACCUUUACUAUAGCUUGACACUGAACAUUGAGCCUUGAUGUGUAGGAUAGGUGGGAGGCUUUGAAGUGUGGACGCCAGUCUGCAUGGAGCCGACCUUGAAAUACCACCCUUUAAUGUUUGAUGUUCUAACGUGGACCCGUUACCCGGGUUGCGGACAGUGUCUGGUGGGUAGUUUGACUGGGGCGGUCUCCUCCUAAAGAGUAACGGAGGAGCACGAAGGUUGGCUAAUCCUGGUCGGACAUCAGGAGGUUAGUGCAAUGGCAUAAGCCAGCUUGACUGCGAGCGUGACGGCGCGAGCAGGUGCGAAAGCAGGUCAUAGUGAUCCGGUGGUUCUGAAUGGAAGGGCCAUCGCUCAACGGAUAAAAGGUACUCCGGGGAUAACAGGCUGAUACCGCCCAAGAGUUCAUAUCGACGGCGGUGUUUGGCACCUCGAUGUCGGCUCAUCACAUCCUGGGGCUGAAGUAGGUCCCAAGGGUAUGGCUGUUCGCCAUUUAAAGUGGUACGCGAGCUGGGUUUAGAACGUCGUGAGACAGUUCGGUCCCUAUCUGCCGUGGGCGCUGGAGAACUGAGGGGGGCUGCUCCUAGUACGAGAGGACCGGAGUGGACGCAUCACUGGUGUUCGGGUUGUCAUGCCAAUGGCACUGCCCGGUAGCUAAAUGCGGAAGAGAUAAGUGCUGAAAGCAUCUAAGCACGAAACUUGCCCCGAG
rnacentral:rRNA from 1 species